GAUGAACGCUAGCGGGAGGCCUAACACAUGCAAGCCGAGCGGUAUUGUUUCUUCGGAAAUGAGAGAGCGGCGUACGGGUGCGUAACACGUGUGCAACCUGCCUUUAUCUGGGGGAUAGCCUUUCGAAAGGAAGAUUAAUACUCCAUAAUAUAUUGAACGGCAUCGUUUAAUAUUUAAAGCUCCGGCGGAUAGAGAUGGGCACGCGCAAGAUUAGCUAGUUGGUGAGGUAACGGCUCACCAAGGCGAUGAUCUUUAGGGGGCCUGAGAGGGUGAUCCCCCACACUGGUACUGAGACACGGACCAGACUCCUACGGGAGGCAGCAGUGAGGAAUAUUGGUCAAUGGGUGCAAGCCUGAACCAGCCAUCCCGCGUGAAGGACGACUGCCCUAUGGGUUGUAAACUUCUUUUGUAUAGGGAUAAACCUACCCUCGUGAGGGUAGCUGAGGGUACUAUACGAAUAAGCACCGGCUAACUCCGUGCCAGCCGCCGCGGUAA
rnacentral:rRNA from 1 species